GACGAACGCUGGCGGCGUGCUUAACACAUGCAAGUCGAACGGAAAGGCCCUGCUUUUGUGGGGUGCUCGAGUGGCGAACGGGUGAGUAACACGUGAGUAACCUGCCCUUGACUUUGGUAUAACUUCAGGAAACUGGGGCUAAUACCGGAUAGGAGCUCCUGCUGCAUGGUGGGGGUUGGAAAGUUUCGGCGGUUGGGGAUGGACUCGCGGCUUAUCAGCUUGUUGGUGGGGUAGUGGCUUACCAAGGCUUUGACGGGUAGCCGGCCUGAGAGGGUGACCGGCCACAUUGGGACUGAGAUACGGCCCAGACUCCUACGGGAGGCAGCAGUGGGGAAUAUUGCACAAUGGGCGGAAGCCUGAUGCAGAAACGCCGCGUGCGGGAUGACGGCCUUCGGGUUGUAAACCGCUUUCGCCUGUGACGAAGCGUGAGUGACGGUAAUGGGUAAAGAAGCACCGGCUAACUACGUG
rnacentral:rRNA from 1 species